rnacentral:rRNA from 1 species
UCCCGUUGAUCCUGCGGGAGAUCGCUGCUAUCUGGAUUCGACUAAGCCAUGCAAGUCAAGGGGGUUCUUCGGGACCACCGGCGAAAUGCUCAGUAACACGUCGUUAAUCUACCCUUUAGUCUGGGAUAACCUUGGGAAACUGAGGCUAACACCGGAUAGGGGAUUGAAACUGGAAUGUUCUUUCCCUUAAAAGCAAUGCUAAAGGAUGAGACGGCGGCCAAUUAGGCAGUUGGUGGGGUAACGGCCCACCAAACCCAAGAUUGGUAGAGGCCUUGAGAGAGGUAGCCUCGAGAAGGGCACUGAGAUACUGGCCCUAGCCCUACGGGGUGCAGCAGGCGCGAAACCUUUACAAUGCACGAAAGUGUGAUAAGGGAAUCCAGAGUGCUCAUGCAUUGCAUGGGCUUUUUUUCAAGAGUAAAUAUCUUGGAGAAUAAGUGGUGGGAAAGACUGGUGCCAGCCGCCGCGGUAACACCAGCGCCACGAGUGGGGAUCACGAUUAUUGGGCCUAAAGCGUCCGUAGCCGGCUUGAUAAAUCUCUUGUGAAAUCGUUUGGCUCAACCAAACGGCAAGCAGGAGACACUAUUAAGCUUGAGACCGGGAAGGGGUAGAGGUAUGCUUGGGGGAGCGGUAAAAUGCUAUAAUCCCUUGCAGACCAAUGGUGGCGAAGGCGUCUACCUAGAACGGAUCUGACGGUGAGGGACGAAAGCCAGGGGAGCAAUCCGGAUUAGAUACCCGAGUAGUCCUGGCCGUAAACGCUGCGAGCUAGGUGUUGCACAUUCUCCGAGAAUGUGCAGUGUCGAAGCGAAGGUGUUAAGCUCGCCGCCUGGGAAGUAUGGUCGCAAGACUGAAACUUAAAGGAAUUGGCGGGGGAGCACCACAAGGGGUGCGGCGUGCGGUUUAAUCUAACUCAACGCAGAGAAUCUCACCAGAUGCGACGGCAGGAUGAAAGUCAGUCUAAAGGGCUUACUUGACGAGCCGAGAGGUAGUGCAUGGCCGUCGUCAGCUCGUGCCGUGAGGUGUCCUCUUAAGUGAGGCAACGAGCGAGACCUGUACCUACACUUGCCAUCAGACUCAUCGAGUGACUGGGCACAUUGUAGGAACUGCCCUGGAAACAGGGAGGAAGGUGCAGGCAACGGUAGGUCUGUAUGCUCCGAAUCUUCUGGGCUACACGCGCGCAACAAUGGUUGGGACAAUGGGUCACAACUCCGAAAGGAGAAGUUAAUCCUCGAAACCCAAACUUAGUUCAGAUUGAGGGUUGUAACUCACCCUCAUGACGAUGGAAUCCCUAGUAAUCAGAGGUCAACAUCCUCCGGUGAAUAAGUCCCUGCUCCUUGCACACACCGCCCGUCAAACCAACCGAGCAGGGUUUAGGUGAGAUUAGAUUUAAUUGAUCCAAUCGGACCUAAGCUCAGUGAGGUGGGUUAAGUCGUCACAAGGUA